ACUCAACAAGUAUCAAUUCAAAAAGGUGAGUUCAAAUUGUAAAAGCAUGCCGCGCCUCUGAUUAGUUUCAGACCAAAGGAAUAGCGGACCCUUGAUCAGUUUGGUAGCCUUAAACCUGUCUAAUGGAGUUU
rfam:Galbibacter marinus strain ck-I2-15 contig6, whole genome shotgun sequence.